UACAGAGGGUGCGAGCGUUAAUCGGAAUUACUGGGCAUAAAGCGCGUGUAGGCGGCAUUGUAAGUCGGGUGUGAAAUCCCUCGGCCUAACCGAGGAAUUGCGCUCGAAACUACUUUGCUUGAGGAUCAGAGGGGAGCCUGGAAUUCCUGGUGGAGCGGUGAAAUGCGUUGAUAUCAGGAGGAACACCGGCGGCGAAGGCGAGGCUCUGGCUGAUUUCUGACGCUGAGACGCGAAAGCUAGGGGAGCAAACGGG
rnacentral:rRNA from 1 species